UGGGGAAUUUUGGACAAUGGGCGAAAGCCUGAUCCAGCCAUGCCGCGUGAGUGAAGAAGGCCUUCGGGUUGUAAAGCUCUUUUAGUCGGAAAGAAAGAGUCGCAAUGAAUAAUUGUGAUUUAUGACGGUACCGACAGAAAAAGCACCGGCUAACUACGUGCCAGCAGCCGCGGUAAUACGUAGGGUGCGAGCGUUAAGCGGAAUUACUGGGCGUAAAGGGUGCGCAGGCGGUUUUGCAAGUCAGAUGUGAAAGCCCCGGGCUUAACCUGGGAAUUGCGUUUAAAACUACAAGGCUAGAGUGCAGCAGAGGGGAGUGGAAUUCCAUGUGUAGCAGUGAAAUGCGUAGAGAUGUGGAAGAACACCGAUGGCGAAGGCAGCUCCCUGGGUUUACACUGACGCUCAUGCACGAAAGCGUGGGGAGCAAACA
rnacentral:rRNA from 1 species